rnacentral:rRNA from 1 species
UUUGAAUCUGGCAGUCGGUUCGGCUGUCCGAGUUGUAAUCUAGAGAAGCGUCUUCCGCGUUGGACCGUGUACAAGUCUCCUGGAAGGGAGCGUCAUAGAGGGUGAGAAUCCCGUCUUUGACACGGAGCCCAGGGCUUAUGUGAGGCGCUCUCGACGAGUCGAGUUGUUUGGGAAUGCAGCUCAAAUAGGGUGGUAAAUUCCAUCUAAAGCUAAAUACAGGCGAGAGACCGAUAGCGAACAAGUACCGUGAGGGAAAGAUGAAAAGAACUUUGGAAAGAGAGUGAAACAGUACGUGAAAUUGCUGAAAGGGAAACGCUUGAUGUCAGUCGCGUCGGCCGGGGGUCAACCUCGCUUCAUCGCUUGGUGUAUUUCCUGGUCGACGGGUCAGCGUCAGUUUUGGUCGCCCGUACAAGGGCGGAGGGGACGUGGCACUCUUCGCGGAGUGUGUUAUAACCUUUCGUCGUAUGCGGUGGUCGGGACUGAGGAACUCAGCACGACGGUCUUCGUCUUGUGCUUAGGAUGCUGGCAUAAUGGCCUUAAGCGACCCGUCUUGAAACACGGACCAAGGAGUCUAACAUGCCUGCGAGUGUUUGGGUGUGCAAACCCGAGUGCGCAAUGAAAGUGAAAGUCGAGACCUCCGUCGUGGAGGGCACCGACGCCCGGACCUGCGUCUUU